GCCUGGUGUGCGGGGGGGUGGGGCCCGGGCUGGAGAGGGAGUUAAUGAUUGGCCACAGAUUCAUUUCGCAACUUACCAAGGGUCAGCUUCCCGUGACCAUGUACCAGCUGAGUCCUCUGGGCUACGCUCCACUUGCCCGCUUCCACCAGAAAGGCCCCCCAGGCUGAGUGCGGCAUGAUCUCCAUCACCGAAUGGCAGAGGGCUUUUUCCCUGUGGCCUUUAGCUUCCUGGGAAAUGUCUACAACAUCCCUUUCCUGAGUGAGCUGUUCCGGAGACUUCAAGGCACGAGCUCGAUGGUCUGAACAACAGAGAUGAGCUCCUUGAACUUGGAUCAUUGGUUGAGAGGGCUGGAGGGAGAAUGGGAACCACUCCCUCAGUCCCCAGCACUGACUCACACCCCAUCAUAUACGGACCGCCCCAAGUCCAGAAGGAAGAAUGGAGCUGAGCGGCUGAUCUCAUAUCCCCAAGUCGAGUCAAGAGGCUGCCAAGACUGUUGGAAGCAGAGAUGCAGAGCCCCAAGGAGAUUGGGCUGGGGCUGGCAUUACACCCCCACUCUAUAUUUAUGGGAGGAAAAGUGAAGAUUAAAUUCCCAAGCUGUGUGUGUGUCU